rnacentral:lncRNA from 1 species
AUCAGUACAGGGAUCAAGAUGCAUCACAGACAUCGAAGUAGCUAAACUAGCAAUAUGAGAAGUUACUACAAGCGCUCCUGCAUGGGAUGCAUUACUAAACAAAACAUUGUUAUUAAAGCAGAGAUUCUUUGUGUGAGUGAGCUGGAGAAAAUGUGGUUGUUGUUGGUAACGAGCCUCCGGCGCGUUGUUCCGGCUAGAUCAUCCUGAUAGAGAGUCCUGACAAAAAGUGGUGGGGUUGCAAAAUAUAGACAACUGAGGGCAUCUGCAUAUAUUUGGCUAGACUAUUUGCAAUAUUAUUUUGCUCCCUAUAGACACGUUGGAUAGAAGGCCUACUCAGUUGUUGAAGCAACAACCUGCAGUCAUUAAGAAUGUUAGUGUAGUGCAUAGUAUGCAUAGUUAACAUACCAAUGAUGUCGUGUGAUCGGUGUCAGUUGGUAGCGCACAGCAAGCUUCAAUCCCAUGUAUAGCGCAAGGAGUUCUGUGUGGAUACUGGUGGUUGGAUAUGAUUUACCUGCAAAGCCCAUGACCCAGUGGCUUUGUGUGUUGCAAAAAACCCCACCUAUUCCAUAACUGUUUUGAUUUGAUGAGGCCGUUCCAUCUAUGUUUAGUUUAUAGUGAUUUGGUGCCGGAGGAUGCCAUUUGAUGUAGAGGGGGGUUGGUAGAUAUUUUGUGCGGUUUUUUUGUGUUAGAAAAUAGUACUCAGCUGCCGUACUUAUGAGCAGAGGAAUAUUAAUGGGCAUAGAUUUGCGUUCUAGUGUGUUUUUAUUCCGUAUAUGCCAUGUGUGUCGCCCUUCCUUUUUUCCCUUUUUGCGGGAAGUCCGGAUUUCGAUAUUCAUGGGGAACAACUCGUUUUCUUUGAGAAUUGGAUAUUUGAAGAGUCGUCACCUAACAGAUUAAGGUGCGUUAGGGCACCUAGAGCAAUCAACUCAUGUAACUAAUUUGCAUUACCAGAGAUUAUGGUAAGGGCUCGAAAUAACCUUGAGGGGAAGACAAUAGUAGUAUAGUGAUGCACCUUGUAAGUAGGGGGGGCCUAUGUAGGGGUAGGGUUCACUGGAAUCCGUUGGACUCGGCAAAAAUAUUGUAUGUAUAUAUAUCUGUUAAAAUAGGGUGGACCCUUUUAAAUAGUUUAUUUGACCCUCUAAGUCACAUAGUCUGGACAGAAGAGUUGGUUUGUUGAAGUGCUUAUGAACAUUCUUUUUACUUGAUGACCCAGGUACGAAUCAGGGGUCCUACAAUCUAUAUUAUUUUAUUUUCACAUUUUUAAAUUCAAUGAUUAUUUAAUUACUUAGUAUUCAACUGAUUUAUUUCUUAUAUUAUCUUUUCUGAAUGGGAGAAUUACAUCCCUUGUCACUUGGCCCAACAACCCAUCAGAAAAUGGCCCAUGUUUGAAGUCAUUACCCAGUAUAGCCCAGGUUGUACAUAAUCUGAAAAUUAAUUUUCACUAGUUAGCCCACCCCUUAUUUCUUCGUUCCCCUUUUUUUUCGUUCCCCUUUUUUCUUCGUUCUUUUUCUCCUUCUCAUGUCAGCCUUUGCACCAUUUCUCUACUAUUGUUAUUCUCCUUUAAUUCAUUUCUGGAUUUCAAUGGUUAGCUAAGGAUUUGAAUAAUAAAAGUCACCAUUACAAGUGGUUCGAAGAUGCGAUUUCAGAAAUUAAGUUUUCCGAUUUGUUAGUUGUUUGGAAUGGGUGUUGUCUUAAUUGAUUGGAAUCAUCAAGAUGAGUUCAAAACUCAAAUUUGAAGUGAUUUGGAGUAGAUUUAGGAUAUAUUUGAGUUAAAUUUCAGAAAUUGAGUUUUUCGAUUUGUUACUUGUUUGGAAUGGGUGUUGUCUCAAUUGAUUGGAAUCAUCAAGAUGAGUUCAAAACUUAAAUUUCAAGUAAUUUGGAGUAGAUUUAGGCUAUAUUUGAGUUAAAUUUCAGAGGAUGCCCAAGGAAGAAGAAGAAGAACACGUGAAGUUCCGUUGAUAGGAUUUAUUUGUAUAAUAAUGUAUAAUAUUAUAUAAAUAGUAUAUAAUAGUGUAUAAACACAACUGAUACACUAUUAUAUCCAAGGUUGAUACAUUAUUUAAAGGUAUUUGGUGAAUUUCUCGCAUUUUCUUUUUCUUCUUCUUCUCAUUCUUCUUAUACACCUAUAUACAUAGUGUAUCAAGAAUAUUUUUACUCUGUGAUUAUACAUCUUUAUAUACUUUUAUACAACUAUAUACAUACUGCACCUCUUUGUAUAAAAGUGUAUAAGCAUCGCUGACGAAAUUUUUGUACAAUUUUCACUUGCAGUUCUUGUAUAAAACUAGUCCAAAUCUCCAGCAAAUAACUUCAAACUUUGUAUACAACCUACUUAGACUAUUUCUAAUAAGUUCAAACAAUACACACUCCAAAUUUCUCACAAAAUCAUAAUCGAAAUUUAACAAGAUUAGCUAAAGGAGAUGAGAUUUUAGGUUUCUCGCGUCUGUUUUUGCGUUUUGCAGUUGUCAUAGGUAUGUAUAAACCUGAAGAUAUAUAAAAAAAAAUUUAAAAAAAAAACAGAGAAAUAUUGGUUAUGGAAGAAGGCACUAAUGAGUGUUGACUGAAUAGGGUCAAAAGUCUUUUUAAACUUUGUUUUAUAAUACAACUUGUUCAAUGUCUUUAUCUUAUUUGAGUUAUCCAACGUGCUUUACUUACGACCUAUUUGAUUCAACUGCUUAUUUGUAAUGGACUAAUUUGUGAAUAUAAGUUCGGACGGACCCAUAGUUAUGGACCAAGAGGGGUGCCUAACACCUUCCCCUCGAGGUUAUUUCGAGCUCUUACCCUAAAUCUCUGGUAAUGCAAACCAAUCCAAGAGUUAAUCACUCUAGGUGCCAUAACGCACCGUAAUCCGUUAGGUGACGACUCUUCAAAUACCCAAUUCCCAAAAGGAAAUGAGUUAUUACCCCAUGGAAUGUCGAAACCCGGACCUCUCUCCGCGAUGAGAGAAAAAAGGGGGCACGACAGAAGGUAUUCGGGGGGUUAAGCUCAUUUAAGCAUUUUAUCAAGCACUAGCUGUGCAUUAUGAUUUCAAGGUUCUCCUAUGGUGAAUUUUGUCAUCCCACAAUCCAAUGUUUACCCAUUUGAGCUCAAUAACCUUCCCACAAACCUUGUUGGUACAUGUAUGCAUAAAUAACACUCUCAUACCCAAGAAUCAUACUCCCCAUUAUCCAUCUUCUACCCCAAAAAAUCCUUACUCUAUAAUCCUCAAACACAUUAGCCUAUCUCGGCACCACAAAAUCUCAGGUUCUAGGUGAAACAUUUACGGGGCCUUACACAACAUAAACAAAAUGCGAAAUCUUUUUUCACACUAUACUUCAACCAUCUAGAGUGCAAAUCUUUAAACUAACGCGGACUGAAUUGACGCAUUUUCUCCUCGAAUAAAAUUUUAGGAAAUUUGUAAUCAACUGGUUGUCAAGGCCCUCUGGAUAUAGUGUCUUCUCACUUCAUCUCGUAUUCUAGAGCUAUAUCUAUCAAUGGGUAUUAUCUCUCAAGAAUCAGGACUAAGUGAUUCCACAUCAAACUCCUCAACAAGAUGGAAAGAAUUGUCUCUAAAACUAGAACUUGGUUGAGAAGAAUUAAACCUAAUAAAAAAUAUGUCCAUCUCAAUUCACAUCAAUAAAACUUCCUACAAAGCAACAAUGCCAAGAAAAACAAUAUUUUUAAUAUGAGUAAUCACACUCCUUAUAGUAAUAUCAGAAUAGAAGUAACAUAUAAUAGAGGAAUUACACCUCUUAUAUCAAGAACAAAGAAAAUAGAAUAUUUCUAAUAGGGGAAUCACACCCAUUCCAUCAAGAUCAAAGAAAAAAAAUAUAUAUUUCUAAUGGAGCAAUUACACCCCUUCUAUCACGAAUAAAAGCAAAUAUAAUAUUUAUAAUAGGAGAAUCACACCCAUAUAUUUUAUUAUAAGUCAUAACUUUAUUAUUAUUUUCUUAAAGAUAGAAGACUUACCAAUUUGUGAGAAGGUAUCCUUGAAAUCUGAAUCAACUUGGUUUCGAAUCAUACACUUCACUGAAAUAAUAUUUCAAAUAGCAUUAGCACAGAAUCUUCAAAUACAUAUGAAAUUAAUUUAUUAAGAGAAAAAAAUUAGCAUACCAACUAAAGAUUUAACAUCUUGUAAAUGUGCACCAUGAUUGUUGUCUGCUCAAACAAUAAAUUCAAAAACUAAAGAACAAUAGCUAAUUCAAAUACUAAAAGAAAGUAUCCUAGAAAUUCAAAUACACUUUGGUUUCUUGCAAGCAUUAUCUACUAUAUUAAAGAACUCCAGAAAAUUAAGCUAACAAAGAGCGAAAUCUACAUGAGCACUUUACUCAUCAAUUAUUUGUUCAACUUAAGUGUUGCUAAUUAGAUUUGCAUUUGAUGGUGUUAGUAAAACUGGGAUAUUUUGAACGGGGAAGAACGUAAAUCUACUCAUAGCCAAUCUAGGUCAACUGCCAAUCUAGGUUAAAAUCACACAAAUCAAAAAAGCAAUAUUUGUAAAAAGAAGAAAAACUUACUCAAAUAAUCAAAGAUUUGAAGAAGAGUCUCUCACUGAAUAAAACGGUGGGAUUCAAAGUUCAAAGAGAUGCAAAGAAGUGAAGAACUGAAAAAGAAAGUUGAAGUUGAAGGGGGGCAGAAAGAGU